UCUCCGCCAGCAGUAGUGCUGGAAAACCUAGUUCAGUAGAUGAGCCUGCAUUGGUUAAGCUAAAGAAGGAAAGGGACUCUGAGAAACUGUUCAAUUUAUUUAAGGCCAAUGCCACAAAUAAGCUUGUUGUUGAGAAUCGAUUUGUCUUUGAGGACACAGUCUCUAGGUUAGCUGGGGCGGGCCGGCUUGAUUAUAUCGAGAAUUUGCUUGAGCAUCAGAAGACUCUGCCACAGGGUCGUCGGGAAGGGUUCAUUAUACGAAUAAUUAUGUUGUAUGGGAGGGCUAGAAUGACUAAGCAUGCUGUCAAUACGUUUUGUGACAUGCAUUUGUAUGGUUGUGUGAGGACUGUUAAGUCAUUCAAUGCUGCUUUGAAGGUAUUGACUGAAUCUCGGGAUUUACAGGCGAUUAAUUGGUUUCUAAAUGAUGUUCCUGCUAGAUUUGGAAUUGUGCUAGAUGCAUAUUCUUUUAAUAUUGUUAUCAAGGGUUUAUGUGAAAUGGGUAUACUGGAUAAGGCGUUUCUUGUCAUGGCUGGGAUGGGAAAAUGGGGACUAGCUCCUGAUGUUUUUACAUACACCUUGCUUAUAGAGGCCUCUUACAAGUCGAACUGGCCAGAGAUUGCGAAUGGAUUGUGGAGCCGGAUGGUAUUAAAAGGUUGUCUUCCCAAUAUUGCGACCUUCAAUGUGAGGAUUCAAUACUUGGUGAAUAAGGGGCGUACAUGGGAUGCUAAUAAGUUGUUGGAUUACAUGCGGAGAUUGAAGAAAUCUCCUGAGUUUCCUGAUGAGAUCACAUAUAAUUUGGUGAUCAAAGGUUUCUAGCAAAAAUGGGUAAAUCUAAAAAUGGCUAUGUAUGUGUAUUCUGCUUUAGGAGUGAGGGCUACAAGCCAAAAUCAAAAAAUUUACCAAACCUUGAUCCAUUAUUUCUGUGAAAGCAAGAGAAAUCGACAUGGCAUACAACAUGUGUAAACAAAGUAUGGAGAAUAACUGGUAUCCUAGUGUGGACACCAUCAACAAGCUGAUCGAUGGCCUGGUCAGAGAUGGAAAACUUGAGAAGAUUGAUAAGGCAAGGCAUAUCUAUAGUCUUGCUUUGAAAAGGAAACCUUCAUUUUAAUUCGGCUCAAAUUGAAUUCAUGAAAUCCUUAGUAUGAAGGAAAUGAACUAAUUUAUUGGACGGGUCAACCGUCUCAUAGGGAGGUAAUUUGAUUGAUUGGUUGCAGAGCAAGGUCGAUUGGAGCCUUGCCUUUGUAGAUACUACCUUUGGUACUAGAAUUAUCUCAAUGUUCGAAGAGUGAAGAUUAAAUUGCUGAACAAGAAGACCGAUUCAAGUCUCCAACGUAAGAACUUUUCUUACGUAAUUACAUCAAAGGUAUAAUUUCUUGGUGUCUGUAUCUGCUUAUUCGGAUUCGACAUCUGUUAUGAAUUGUGUUUUAAUUUAUUUGAGGCAUGUGUUAUCUAGAGGUAUAUGCAGCAACACAGUGAGGUGGAGCUUUCCGGACUUGGCAUGGGUAACUCCAAUCCCUAUUUGUACAUUAAAUGUGUUUUUCCUCGACUUUUACCUGGUUAUCGGUGAUUCUCAUUUUUUUAUUUUGUAUGAAUAAUGUUGAUCGUGACUGAUAAGAAUGAAAGGGGUUUAGAUUGUUGGGUUAUGCUCUGUUUUGUCAAACGCGUUUCAAUUUUACGUGAAUUGUGAAAGCAUCUUGAGUUCUAGACUAGAAACUUUUUGCUGUGAUGAGUUGGACGUUCUUUAAGCAUAUCAAUUCCUUUUAGUCCUUUUGUUGUUUUCAGUUCUAUGUUCAUAAGGAAGGAAUUGGUGUUAAGAUGCUAUGAUAGAUUGUUUAGUUAUGUUGGUCUACACUUUAUGAUGGCAUAAGGAGGUGCUACCUGCUUGUGUAAAAGUGUUGUGUAGAAUGUGUAGCUUUGUAAGAGUAGCUCACUUGCCCAAUGGUCAGUGACAUUUUCCGGUUGCUCCUGUGUUAGAAAUGCAAUGUGCCUGUUUACUAGUUCCGUACCGUAACCCUGUCAAGAGCUAUUAGUGGUUGAAUUACUGUGUUCUUCUGAUGUGCCUUAAACUACACUGCUCCGUAUGUUUCUAAGAUUGUGGUGCGGUUCUCUCGGGACCAGUUAGUCAUGUGAAAAUGUCUAAUUGGAAUUUGUGCUGGCAGCCUACUACUCAUUCUCUUUCUGCGAGUUGCUGAGGAUGUUUUUCUGUGCCAUGAAAUACAACAUAUUCCACCAUAAUGUACUCUAGAGUAAUUUAUUGCAAAUAGAUAAGCACUCGUUACUGGAGCCAUUACGUGGCAGGGAGGAGCAAAAGUUAUUUUCUGCUUCUGUACAUAUCUGAUCUACAUGAUUUUGAUGUAGAUUAUUUUGUAGAAUGUGAAUUCUGAACUUCUACUUUGUUUUUUAUUUGCUGAGUGGAUCCCAUCCCAUAUUGUAUGAUUUUUAAUUUUUUCUUUUUCUCUUUGUCCUGGUUUUGUACUGAUUUUGUGUUUGUUCUUAUGCUAUUAUAGCAAUCUCAACAGUUGUCUCAGUUGCUGAAAUUCUGAAGAACAAUGGAUUUGCUGUUGAGAAGAGUGAGUUAUUCUUUACAGCCCCAUAUUCUUUAUUAUUUUUUGUAACCUAACACAUGCAACUUUGGAAACAAAAUGCCAUACUGAUUUGAAAAGGUUUGAUUGAGUAAUCAGCUAUAGCAGUAAUUUUGGUGGUUGUUGGGGAUAAAAUGGUGUUACAAAAUGAAGGAAAUUGCGUAAUCUUAUAAAUCAAAGCCUUCAAUUUGAUUGUGUUUCUAAUCAAGUGUAUAAACGUUACAAAUACAUCAUAUAUGUUACAUAGAUUAAAUUAAAUGUAUCUACUUUUACACAUGUAGAAAUCAUGACAUCGACUGUGGAGAUAAAGGAUGAUUCUCGGGGAAGGCCCGUUCAAAAAGCCAAGGUAAGUUGAUUCCUGUUCAGACCGGUUUUGUGUAUAAGGAUUAGUGUUGAUGUUUUUAUCCUGAUAUAUGUUUCUUCCCAUAUGUGAUAAGAAUACCAUGAGUUGAUGCUAAGGUAUUUUUCUUUAACAUCUUAUGGUACCCUUUUUUUUCCCCAUAUAGAUUGAAGUAGUACUUGGGAAAACAGCAAAUUUUGAUGAGUUAAUGGCCGUGGCGCAAGAGGGUAGGGAGAAUGGAAAUGAUGAAGAAUAAGCCUAGUCAGAGUUGAUGUUUCAAGCCGUCUUCUCUUAUUAUGCCUACUGUUAUGGAUGUCGCUAUGUGUUUUAGUCAUGUAAAAUAGGCAUAAGAGGAAGUACUAAUAAUGGCUUAAAGUUUUGUAUCUAAAUUGUUUCUUGUAAUUUGUUAGUGGUUAAAGCUUUUGCUUUAGGUGUAGCUAUUCUUUCUAAUGUUGUUCAUUAACCCUUUAAUGGAAUUAUAUGCAGUGGAAUUGUGUUUUGUUAGUGGAUUUAUUGUUUUCUGUGAGAUAUUGGAGGCACUCCGUUUACACAAGGUUGCAUACCUAUAUCAAUGUUUUAUUUCUUCAAUACAACAAUGGUUAUCAAUUGUGUUGUAUAUAUGCACACUAAUGAAAUCAGAUGCAAGGUUUGGACUAAAAUAUCCAUAUUUAGCAUGCAAAUCUGCAAGUGGGCUUCUGAAAAUUUGAACUUGAAGCAGAGAAAUCUGUUGAAAUUCGCAGAGCCUAAUAUGUAAAAGUGAAUAAAAUCUUCAAGAUGUUGUACACUUAUUAUGAAAAUCUGAAUAAGAACAAUUCAAAAUUGCAGUUUUAGCUUGAAAUCUGCUUAUGUUUCCAUCUAGAUCUGUUACAAGUAAUAAAAUCUUUCAGAUCAACCUCCAGGGAAAAUAUACCCUGCAACAAUAGCUACUCUGCCCCCACGCCAUUCUUAGAGUAAAACACCACAGUCCAUUCAUUUGAUAGUGCGACAUCAAGAUAACCGUAGCUUCACCUUUCCCACACUGCCUACUUUCGAAGAUGGGUAUACUGGAUAAGGCGUUUCUUGUCAUGGCUGGGAUGGGAAAAUGGGGACUAGCUCCUGAUGUUUUUACAUACAGCUUGCUUAUAGAGGCCUCUUACAAGUCGAACUGGCCAGAGAUUGCGAAUGGAUUGUGGAGCCGGAUGGUAUUAAAAGGUUGUCUUCCCAAUAUUGCGACCUUCAAUGUGAGGAUUCAAUACUUGGUGAAUAAGGGGCGUACAUGGGAUGCUAAUAAGUUGUUGGAUUACAUGCGGAGAUUGAAGAAAUCUCCUGAGUUUCCUGAUGAGAUCACAUAUAAUUUGGUGAUCAAAGGUUUCUGCAAAAUGGGAAAUCUAAAAAUGGCUAUGUAUGUGUAUUCUGCUUUUAGGAGUGAGGGCUACAAGCCAAAUCAAAAAAUUUACCAAACCUUGAUCCAUUAUUUCUGUGAAGCAAGAGAAAUCGACAUGGCAUACAACAUGUGUAAACAAAGUAUGGAGAAUAACUGGUAUCCUAGUGUGGGCACCAUCAACAAGCUGAUCGACGGCCUGGUCAGAGAAGGAAAACUUGAGAAGAUUGAUAAGGCAAAGCAUAUCUAUAGUCUUGCUUUGAAAAGGAAACCUCCUUUUAAUUCGGCUCAAAUUGAAUUCAUGAAAUCCUUAGUAUCAAGGAAAUGAACUAAUUUAUUGGACGGGUCAACCGUCUCAUAGGGAGGUAAUUUGAUUGAUUGGUUGCAGAGCAAGGUCAAUUGGAGCCUUGCCUUUGAGAUACUACCUCUGGUGACUGCAUGUAAUUUCUUCAGUCCGAUUCUGGUUCUGCCCGAAUGAGUUAUUAGUGAUGUGAAAGCUCUAAGAAGUCGCAUUCACUAAGUCGUAAGUUUAACUCAAUUACUUUAAUGGCUUUUUUCACGAUUCUGUAGUGCAAAACCAAUAGUCCAAUAUUGUAAAUUGUGUUGUCUUCAGGUUUGAGCUGAUUGCCGGAUGCAGCAGGUGACUUUCCAUUGAUUAUGCUGAAGCUCCAACAGUUGGUAAAUUGAAGGGUGUUUAAUUCAGCUGUUUGCUGCAUGUUAGUUUAGAAGAAUAUGUAGGAACGAGUUAGAGUAGGUUGCCAGAGUGAGCAUGAGGGAGGACAAAACAGGGUUGCUUUUUGUUUU
rnacentral:lncRNA from 1 species